rnacentral:rRNA from 1 species
UGCCAGCCGCCGCGGUAAUACGGAGGGUGCAAGCGUUGUUCGGAAUUACUGGGCGUAAAGCGCGCGUAGGCGGCUUUUUAAGUCAGAUGUGAAAGUCCACGGCUCAACCGUGGAAGUGCAUUUGAAACUGGGAGGCUUGAGUAUUGGAGGGGGUGGUGGAAUUCCCGGUGUAGCGGUGAAAUGCAUAGAUACCAUCAAGAACACCGAUUGCGAAGGCAGCUCACUGGGCAACAACUGACGCUGAGGUACGAAAGCGUGGGGAGCAAACAGGAUUAGAUA